rnacentral:rRNA from 1 species
UCUUUUUGUAAUUUAUUUAAAGUCUAACCUGCCCAUUGAAUAAUUUUUAAAAGGCUGCGGUAUUUUGACCGUACAAAGGUAGCAUAAUCAUUAGUUUUUUAAUUGAAAACUCGUAUGAAUGGUUGAACGAAAUAUUUUCUGUUUCAUAAAAAUUUAUAUAGAAAUUAAUUUUUUAGUUAAAAAGCUAAAAUAUCUUUAAAAGACGAGAAGACCCUAUAGAGUUUUAUAUAAAUUAAAUUAUAAUUUAUUUAUAAUAAUUAAAAUUUUAUUUUAUUUUAUAUUUUGUUGGGGUGACAGUAAAAUUUCAUAAUCUUUUAUUAUUUUUUAACAAUGAUUUUUGAAUAAUUGAUCCAUUUUUAAUGAUUAAAAGAUUAAAUUACCUUAGGGAUAACAGCGUAAUUUUUUUGUAGAGUUCUUAUCGAUAAAAAAUUUUGCGACCUCGAUGUUGGAUUAAGAAUAAUUUUAGGUGUAGAAGCUUAUUAAUUAGGUCUGUUCGACCUUUAAAUUCUUACGUGAUCUGAGUUCAGACCGGA